rnacentral:rRNA from 2 species
AGAGUUUGAUCCUGGCUCAGGACGAACGCUGGCGGCGUGCCUAAUACAUGCAAGUCGAACGAACUCUGGUAUUGAUUGGUGCUUGCAUCAUGAUUUACAUUUGAGUGAGUGGCGAACUGGUGAGUAACACGUGGGAAACCUGCCCAGAAGCGGGGGAUAACACCUGGAAACAGAUGCUAAUACCGCAUAACAACUUGGACCGCAUGGUCCGAGCUUGAAAGAUGGCUUCGGCUAUCACUUUUGGAUGGUCCCGCGGCGUAUUAGCUAGAUGGUGGGGUAACGGCUCACCAUGGCAAUGAUACGUAGCCGACCUGAGAGGGUAAUCGGCCACAUUGGGACUGAGACACGGCCCAAACUCCUACGGGAGGCAGCAGUAGGGAAUCUUCCACAAUGGACGAAAGUCUGAUGGAGCAACGCCGCGUGAGUGAAGAAGGGUUUCGGCUCGUAAAACUCUGUUGUUAAAGAAGAACAUAUCUGAGAGUAACUGUUCAGGUAUUGACGGUAUUUAACCAGAAAGCCACGGCUAACUACGUGCCAGCAGCCGCGGUAAUACGUAGGUGGCAAGCGUUGUCCGGAUUUAUUGGGCGUAAAGCGAGCGCAGGCGGUUUUUUAAGUCUGAUGUGAAAGCCUUCGGCUCAACCGAAGAAGUGCAUCGGAAACUGGGAAACUUGAGUGCAGAAGAGGACAGUGGAACUCCAUGUGUAGCGGUGAAAUGCGUAGAUAUAUGGAAGAACACCAGUGGCGAAGGCGGCUGUCUGGUCUGUAACUGACGCUGAGGCUCGAAAGUAUGGGUAGCAAACAGGAUUAGAUACCCUGGUAGUCCAUACCGUAAACGAUGAAUGCUAAGUGUUGGAGGGUUUCCGCCCUUCAGUGCUGCAGCUAACGCAUUAAGCAUUCCGCCUGGGGAGUACGGCCGCAAGGCUGAAACUCAAAGGAAUUGACGGGGGCCCGCACAAGCGGUGGAGCAUGUGGUUUAAUUCGAAGCUACGCGAAGAACCUUACCAGGUCUUGACAUACUAUGCAAAUCUAAGAGAUUAGACGUUCCCUUCGGGGACAUGGAUACAGGUGGUGCAUGGUUGUCGUCAGCUCGUGUCGUGAGAUGUUGGGUUAAGUCCCGCAACGAGCGCAACCCUUAUUAUCAGUUGCCAGCAUUAAGUUGGGCACUCUGGUGAGACUGCCGGUGACAAACCGGAGGAAGGUGGGGAUGACGUCAAAUCAUCAUGCCCCUUAUGACCUGGGCUACACACGUGCUACAAUGGAUGGUACAACGAGUUGCGAACUCGCGAGAGUAAGCUAAUCUCUUAAAGCCAUUCUCAGUUCGGAUUGUAGGCUGCAACUCGCCUACAUGAAGUCGGAAUCGCUAGUAAUCGCGGAUCAGCAUGCCGCGGUGAAUACGUUCCCGGGCCUUGUACACACCGCCCGUCACACCAUGAGAGUUUGUAACACCCAAAGUCGGUGGGGUAACCUUUUAGGAACCAGCCGCCUAAGGUGGGACAGAUGAUUAGGGUGAAGUCGUAACAAGGUA